GUAGGGCAGGUGGUUUUGAGAAAUUCUCUUCUGUUUUUCAUAGUUUUUUUUUUUUUUUUUUUUUUUUUUUUU
rnacentral:ribozyme from 1 species